UACGUAGGGGGCUAGCGUUGUCCGGAUUUAUUGGGCGUAAAGAGCGUGUAGGCGGCCAGGUAGGUCUGCUGUGAAAACUCGAGGCUUAACCUCGAGACGUCGGCGGAAACCAUCUGGCUAGAGUCCGGAAGAGGAGAGUGGGAAUUCCUGGUGUAGCGGUGAAAUGCGCAGAUAUCAGGAAGAACACCCGUGGCGAAGGCGGCUCUCUGGGACGGUACUGACGCUGAGACGCGAAGCGUGGGGAGCGAACAGG
rnacentral:rRNA from 1 species